rnacentral:rRNA from 1 species
GACGAACGCUGGCGGCGUGCUUAACACAUGCAAGUCGUACGGUAAGGCCCUUUCGGGGGUACACGAGUGGCGAACGGGUGCGUAACACGUGCGUAACCUGCCCACAACUUUGGGAUAACGCUAGGAAACUGGUGCUAAUACUGGAUAUGUGCUCCUGCUGCAUGGUGGGGGUUGGAAAGCUCCGGCGGUUGUGGAUGGACUCGCGGCCUAUCAGCUUGUUGGUGGGGUAGUGGCCUACCAAGGCGGCGACGGGUAGCCGGCCUGAGAGGGUGACCGGCCACAUUGGGACUGAGACACGGCCCAGACUCCUACGGGAGGCAGCAGUGGGGAAUAUUGCACAAUGGGCGCAAGCCUGAUGCAGCAACGCCGCGUGCGGGAUGACGGCCUUCGGGUUGUAAACCGCUUUCAGCAGGGACGAAGCUUUUUGUGACGGUACCUGCAGAAGAAGCACCGGCUAACUACGUG